rnacentral:rRNA from 1 species
GGCUUAACACAUGCAAGUCGAACGAUGUAGCAAUACAUAGUGGCGCAGGGGUGAGUAACGCGUGGGAAUAUGCCCUUUAGUUUGGAAUAACAGUUGGAAACGAUUGCUAAUACCAAAUCCUCCCUUGGGGGGAAAGGUUUAUCGGUAAAGGAUUAGCCGGAUAGAGAUUAGGUAGUUGGUGGGGUAAUGGCCUACCAAACCUACGAUCUCUAGCUGGUCUGAGAGGAUGAUCACCCACACUGGAAGUGAGACACGGUCCAGACUCCUACGGGAGCCAGCAGUGGCGUUUAUUGGUGGAUGGGCGUCAGCCUGAUCCACCCAUGCCGCUUGUUUUUAAUCCUCAGGGUUGUGCCCC